GGGGGUAUAGCUCAGUGGUAGACCCUUCCCGACUGCAGAUCGGGGGUUUCCCCCGGCUAAAACCCGGGUGUCCUCU